rnacentral:rRNA from 1 species
CACCGCGGUUAUACGAGAGGCCCAAGUUGAUAUUUAACGGCGUAAAGGGUGGUUAAAAGUCUACAAACUAAAGCCGAACACUUUCUAAGCCGUUAUACGCACUUGGGAGCAUGAAGUCCAACCACGAAAGUGGCUUUAAUAGUAUUUGAACCCACGAAAGCUAAGAAA